AGUAUUCUAUAACUUAGUAAUUAGUUCUCCUUACUUAGGUAAUAUAUGGAUAUUUGCUCCCUCCACGCUGAUCUUACUAGUUGAUAUCAACCCUUAGUAGGCGAUCUUACAGUGGACCAGGACUUUUACUAUAAAAGAAUUAGAGUUUUAAGAAUGCCUUUGCUUGAAUAUUACCAUGAUUUAUAAAAUAGGAUGUGCGGUUCUGCUUUGUGGGUUUCUAGGACCGCCAUGAUGAUUUCUUAAUAGCAACAGGUGGAGGCGCCCAUAUCCGGCAGUCAGAGGUGAAAUUUUUAGAUUUGCUACACGAACUGCCGCCAAAGCAUUUAGCAAGGAUGUUUUUAUUGGCCUGGAAAUGAAUGUAAUUUGGGAAAUUCAAGAUGAUCAGAUACCAUCAUAGUCCUAACCAAAUUUUCAUAAACACACGAACCAGGGAUCAGGCUUCUUUUCUAUCAGGAUCUCCCUUGGCAUUUUCAAGGAAACAAAGUUUCGGGAUC